CCAAAUGGGCUCCCGUGUAUUUCACAGAGCUGGAAAAGGGAAAUUUGCUGUGUUCUUAACCAGAGCUCUUAUUUUCUCAUUUUUGUCACAGGAAUGACCCAGAACAGGAAGGAAGGCUGCCCUCCAGAGCGUGCAUGAGAGACAUCUCCAGACCCCAGAGCCUUGAAUGGGUGGUGACUCCCCAGGGUGCUCCAUGAUCCGGAAGACAAACUGGUGGUGCCGCCUCUGGGGGUACAGGUCUGCCUCUCCUCCCAGGACACAUCCACUCCUGUAUAUCUCAUCAGCCAGAGAACAUCAGGAGCCGUGCAAUUUGUUGCUGCCCCACCUUGGGGUUUCCCACUGGGGCCCCCAGCACUGAUUCACGGGAAUACUCUACAGUACCCCAGCAGUUCCUCACAGGAUGCAAUUGUCACUGCCGUUGGAAGCCAAUCAACGCGUUGUGAGUGGGAGCCCGCUGGUGCUUUCCAAUGGUCCUUGAUUAAAAAGGAAGCUCUUGGCUAUCUUCAAGCAGCAGGAGAGGAAACAGCACGGGUGAAGGUAAGGCAAGUGCCAGACUCUUGCUCCCGAUGGAUCACAGCUCAUUUUCACCCUAGUUUAGUCAUGAAAUCUGCUUUUUUUCUUAACUCUGAGGCCUUCUUCCCCCUUUGCUCCCUACCAGGCUACGUCUAGAACAGCCUCUGCUUUUCAGUGACAAAAUCUGAGCGAUCAGCCCUGUGCUCUGGUGUAUUUUCCUGCAAAUUAAAUACACUGUGCCUUCAAAAAACAUUGUCAGUUUAUGUAGGCUGUUGCUUGCCUCUUGACACCCGUUCUCAGUGCAGUUGCAGAAGUACGUAACUGGAAUCCAGCUCAAAACAGGUGACAAAUUACAGGCAAGCUAUUUUUGUACAGCAACAGGGUAUUUUAAUUGAAGUGGCAGCUGAAGGUACAAAUAUACAGUGUUUCUCCUCAGAUUUUCAGGUGUGUGGAUUUUCAGACAGGGAAAUUUUCCAGCAUCACAUAUGUCAAUUAUUUUCCGAAGAAUAAAAAAAAAAAAAAAAAAAGGUUUUGUUUUUCU
rnacentral:lncRNA from 1 species